AUUGAACGCUGGCGGCAGGCUUAACACAUGCAAGUCGAACGAGUGGCGGACGGGUGAGUAAUGUAUGGGAAUCUGGCCUAUGGCGGGGGAUAACUACGGGAAACUGUAGCUAAUACCGCGUACCAUAGGAUGAGCCCAAGUGGGAUUAGGUAGUUGGUGGGGUAAAGGCUCACCAAGCCGACGAUCCCUAGCUGGUCUGAGAGGAUGACCAGCCACACUGGGACUGAGACACGGCCCAGACUCCUACGGGAGGCAGCAGUGGGGAAUAUUGCACAAUGGGGGCAACCUGAUGCAGCCAUGCCGCGUGUAUGAAGAAGGCCUUCGGGUUGUAAAGUUCUUUCGGUAGCGAGGCGUUACCAGCAGAAUAAGCACCGGCUAACUUCGUGCCAGCAGCCGCGGUAAUAC
rnacentral:rRNA from 1 species